rnacentral:rRNA from 1 species
UACAUGGGGUGCAAACGUUGCUCGGAAUUAUUGGGCGUAAAGCGCACGUAGGUGGUCUGUUAUAUCAGAUGUGAAAGCCCUCGGCUUAACUGAGGAAGUGCACCUGAAACUGGCAGGCUUGAGUACGAAAGAGGGUCGCGGAAUUCCCGGUGUAGAGGUGAAAUUCGUAGAUAUUGGGAGGAACACCAGUGGCGAAGGCGGCUCGCUGGACCGGUUCUGACGCUGAGGCGCGAAAGCGUGGGGAGCAAACGGG